UCUACUCCGUGCCCCACACUCCUGCCCUACACCUGAGGUGUCCUUCCACUCUCUGGAAACACGUGGGCUCGGAUCUGGCCGGCAUGAGCCAAGAAGCCCAUUCCUUUUGUGAGCAGGAGGACGGGUCUGCUGAGACCCAAGAUGGGCUACAUACACGUGCGGCGGGGGGUACAGAGGCCAGCGUCAGACAGUCGGGGAGCCCAGGGUUCUCCCUGGGGGAAGGCCCACACUCCCAGGAACCUUGGGCUCGUAACAGUUUGCUCCCUGCCCCUCACAGGGCCACACGACUGGGACCCUCUCUUCCCCACAACUGGAUGCAUGGUCCUCUCCCCUGCAGGAGUACUGGGUCUUGCUGAGAGAAGCAACAAUGCUAACAGGAAAAUACGGAUGGCCGCAUGAAGCUGGGCUGGGCCCAGGAGGGCUAGAUACAGCGGCCCUGUCCUGGGGCAUCCACUUACAGCCAAGACCGUCCCGGCCCCAGGAGACCAGGCAAAGCAGAAGCCAUGACUGCUCGGCCCUUUGGGCCAACCUUCACCCCCACCCCCACAUGCUCAGCUAGCGGAAGGCAGGCUCUUCUCCCGGCUUUAUUCUUUAUUAACACUUUGCUGCUGUCACUGCUCUGAGCUCCACUGCAGUUCCGUGUCUUGUCAGUCCUUUUUGACUCUCAUUUUGGUAAAAUAAAUAGAGACAAUGAA